GAUGAAGAACGUAGUGAAAUGCGAUACUUGGUGUGAAUUGCAGGAUCCCGUGAACCACCGAGUCUUUGAACGCAAGUUGCGCCCGGAGCCUUCUGGCCGAGGGCACGUCUGCCUGGGCGUCACGCAUCGUUGUCCCCACCCACACAACUCCCCCGCCCACCGUGCGGGCUCGUUGUGCGGGCGAGGGCACACACUGGCCUACCGUGCGCACCGUCGUGCGGGUGGCUUAAAUUCGAGUCCUCGACGCUCGUCGUCGCGACACUACGGUGGUUGAUCCAACCUCGGUGACGCGUCUCGGCCUCGACGUCGCCUCCACGGACUCCUGCAUGACCCUACGAACGUCGCCCCCGCAAAGGGACGACACUCUCGACGCGACCCCAGGUCAGGCGGGACUACCCGCUGAGUUUAAGCAUAUCAAUAAGCGGAGGA
rnacentral:misc_RNA from 1 species